UUUUGUUCAUCAGCACGCUACACGAAGAUUAGUUGGCAAAAGUUGAGACCCUACAUCUUUUGAAUAGUUCGUCGAGUUCUUUGAAACUAUGUUCAGAUUUUGUUGGAAAGUAAAUGCGCGCGGUCACGAAAUAAGGUUGAGAAAGGACGAACGAAAUGUUGCUGGUCAAUUAUUCACAAUAAUGGUGGACUUGUUAAACUAAAGAAAGUUAUCAUUGUUCACGCUACACGUUGAUCACGCCAGCUUUUGUUGACUAUAUUCUCUUGAGAAACCGUCUCUUCAAUGAUGCACAAUGGACAAUAUACUCCAGUGAAGAAGAAAAACGCCUGAU